UACGAAGGGGGCUAGCGUUGCUCGGAAUCACUGGGCGUAAAGGGUGCGUAGGCGGGUCUUUAAGUCAGGGGUGAAAUCCUGGAGCUCAACCCGGGAACUGCGUCCGGGACUGGAAGGCUUGAAUCCGGGAGAGGGAUGUGGAAUUCCAGGUGUAGCGGUGAAAUGCGUAGAUAUCUGGAGGAACAUCGGUGGCGAAGGCGGCAUCCUGGACCGGUAUUGACGCUGAGGCGCGAAAGCCAGGGGAGCAAACGGG
rnacentral:rRNA from 1 species